UAAGGUAACCAAUAGUCCUGGUUUGCCUGGAACUGAGAAGUUUCCUAGAACAUGGAACUUUCAGUGCAAACCCUGGAAGAGUC
rnacentral:miRNA from 1 species